UACAGAGGGUGCGAGCGUUAAUCGGAAUUACUGGGCGUAAAGCGUGCGUAGACGGCUAUCUAAGUCGGGUGUGAAAGCUCCGAGCUCAACUCGGAGAGGCCACCCGAUACUGCUGUGACUUGAGUCCAGUAGAGGAGCGUGGAAUUCCUGGUGUAGCGGUGAAAUGCGCAGAUAUCAGGAGGAACACCAGCAGCGAAGGCGGCGCUCUGGGCUGGAACUGACGCUGAGGAGCGAAAGCGUGGGUAGCAAACAGG
rnacentral:rRNA from 1 species